rnacentral:rRNA from 1 species
GACCGGCGCACGGGUGCGUAACGCGUAUGCAAUCUACCUUUUACUAUGGGAUAGCCCAGAGAAAUUUGGAUUAAUACCAUAUAGUAUAUUUGAAUGGCAUCGUUUGAAUAUUAAAGAUUUAUCGGUAAAAGAUGAGCAUGCGUCCCAUUAGUUAGUUGGUGUGGCAACGGCAUACCAAGACGAUGAUGGGUAGGGGUCCUGAGAGGGAGAUCCCCCACACUGGUACUGAGACACGGACCAGACUCCUACGGGAGGCAGCAGUGAGGAAUAUUGGUCAAUGGAGGCAACUCUGAACCAGCCAUGCCGCGUGCAGGAUGACGGUCCUAUGGAUUGUAAACUGCUUUUGUACGGGAAGAAAACAAACUACGAGUAGUUAAUUGACGGUACCGUAAGAAUAAGGAUCGGCUAACUCCGUGCCAGCAGCCGCGGUAAUACGGAGGAUCCAAGCGUUAUCCCGGAAUCAUUGGGUUUAAAGGGUCCGUAGGCGGCCUUAUAAGUCAGUGGUGAAAGUUUUUGGCUUAACCAAAAAAUUGCCAUUGAUACUGUAGGGCUUGAAUAUCUGUGAAGUAACUAGAAUAUGUAGUGUAGCGGUGAAAUGCUUAGAUAUUACAUGGAAUACCGAUUGCGAAGGCAGGUUACUAACAGAUGAUUGACGCUGAUGGACGAAAGCGUGGGUAGCGAACAGGAUUAGAUACCCUGGUAGUCCACGCCGUAAACGACGGAUACUAGCUGUUUGGUUUUCGGACUGAGUGGCUAAGCGAAAGUGAUAAGUAUCCCACCUGGGGAGUACGGUCGCAAGACUGAAACUCAAAGGAAUUGACGGGGGCCCGCACAAGCGGUGGAGCAUGUGGUUUAAUUCGAUGAUACGCGAGGAACCUUACCAGGGCUUAAAUGUAGAUUGACAGAUUUGGAAACAGAUUUUUCUUCGGACAAUUUACAAGGUGCUGCAUGGUUGUCGUCAGCUCGUGCCGUGAGGUGUCAGGUUAAGUCCUAUAACGAGCGCAACCCCUGUUGUUAGUUGCCAGCACGUAAUGGUGGGAACUCUAGCAAGACUGCCAGUGUAAACUGUGAGGAAGGUGGGGAUGACGUCAAUCAUCACGGCCUUACGUCCUG